rnacentral:lncRNA from 1 species
CGGUUCUCCAAACGGUAUAGAAACUUCUUCGUGCGUUGUUUUGUACCUUUAAGUAUCGAGCACACGACAAACUCACUGUUCACUGUUCAACGAGGUGUUAUGACAGUUAUUAACAGAAAUACGUGGAAAAAUAUGUAAUUUUCUGCAGUGCGAAGAUAAAGUGCUUUCAGUGUCGAAGAGUUCCAGCACAAUGUGUGCACACACGUACAGUCUCCUGCUGUGUGAAUUGAAUGGAGAGAAGCAUCAAACACAGACACAAAGGCAGAUGGUAAGUAAGCCCUUCCACUCGGAUAUACACCACAAAUGGGAUGAAAAGUCUGUUCAUGCUAACUUCAAAUUCAUUAGUGUGUAUUCAAAAUGUGUUCUCCUUGUAUACGAUUAUGUUUAAAUGAAUGCC